GAACAACUUCCUUCAAAAUGCAGUUGGUCUGUGAUUAACAGCCAAAAAAAAAAUAAUAACCUUGCCAGAUCCAGAUCACAGAAGCUUUAAGAUUAACUCUUGAACUAGAUUCAUAAUAGAACAGCAACUCAAAAGUGAAUCAUUUGCUAAUUCAGUCCUUACUAAUUAUAGUCACUCCCUCUCAGGUCAUGUAAUUAACUUAUUGAAUUCAAAAAAAAAAAAAA
rfam:Erinaceus europaeus cont1.089399, whole genome shotgun sequence.